GAUGAAGAACGUAGCGAAAUGCGAUACUUGGUGUGAAUUGCAGAAUCCCGUAAACCAUCGAGUCUUUGAACGCAAGUUGCGCCCGAAGCCAUCAGGUUGAGGGCACGUCUGCCUGGGCGUCACAUAUCGUUGCCCAAUGCCUAUUGCAGUGCAAUAGGAAUUUCUAGGGCGAAUGAUGGCUUCCCGUGAGCGUUGUUGCCUCGCGGUUGGUUGAAAAUCGAGUCCUUGGUAGGGUGUGCCAUGGUAGAUGGUGGUCGAGUUAGAACGAUACCGAUCAUGUGCAUGCUCCCCAAAAUAUGGCCUCUAUGACCCACACGCGUCUUUUGACGCUCAUGACGAGACCUCAGGUCAGGCGGGGCUACCCGCUGAAUUUAAGCAUAUCAAUAAGCGGAGGA
rnacentral:misc_RNA from 1 species